UAGUAACGGCGAGUGAAGCGGCAACAGCUCAAAUUUGAAAUCUGGCCCUCGGGUCCGAGUUGUAAUUUGUAGAGGAUGCUUUUGGUGAGGUGCCUUCCGAGUUCCCUGGAACGGGACGCCAUAGAGGGUGAGAGCCCCGUCUGGUUGGACACCGAGCCUCUGUAAAGCUCCUUCGACGAGUCGAGUAGUUUGGGAAUGCUGCUCUAAAUGGGAGGUAUAUGUCUUCUAAAGCUAAAUACCGGCCAGAGACCGAUAGCGCACAAGUAGAGUGAUCGAAAGAUGAAAAGCACUUUGAAAAGAGGGUUAAAUAGUACGUGAAAUUGUUGAAAGGGAAGCGCUUAUGACCAGACUUGAGCCCGGUUAAUCAUCCAGCCUUCUGGCUGGUGCACUUGGCCGGCUCAGGCCAGCAUCAGUUCGGCGCGGGGGAUAAAGGUUUCGGGAAUGUGGCUCCUCCGGGAGUGUUAUAGCCCGUUGCGUAAUACCCUGUGCUGGACUGAGGUUCGCGCAUCUGCAAGGAUGCUGGCGUAAUGGUCAUCAGCGACCCGUCUUGAAACACGGACCAAGGAGUCGUCUUCGUAUGCGAGUGUUCGGGUGUCAAACCCCCUACGCGUAAUGAAAGUGAACGCAGGUGAGAGCUUCGGCGCAUCAUCGACCGAUCCUGAUGUUCUCGGAUGGAUUUGAGUAAGAGCAUACGGGGCCGGACCCGAAAGAAGGUGAACUAUGCCUGUAUAGGGUGAAGCCAGAGGAAACUCUGGUGGAGGCUCGCAGCGGUUCUGACGUGCAAAUCGAUCGUCAAAUA
rnacentral:rRNA from 1 species